GGAGGCGACGCGCCGCUGCUCCCGCAGCCCCGAGCCCUGCAAGCCCGAACGGGAGAGAAACAAAAGCAUCCUCCGAAGGAGAUGUGACAUCUUCUUUUCUCUGUUGGUAUCUGUUAUCUUCUGAAGAAAGCAUGGCUGAAAGCGAAACCUGAACCUCUCACCUUCUCUCCCUCGACGUUUAGUAUCUUUCUCCUUCCUCUUCUUACCACCAGGGUCUCUUCUGUGAUUUUGACGCCCCAGUUAUUUUUCAUAAAUAUUUAUUUUCCCAUGGAAACCAUUCUUCCUUAACCGAGCCCUUUGUGGCAUUUUUGGCCUUCCCUUCUCUAACUUCAGACGUUCCACCUUGAAACAAUUUAUCUUUCUUUCCCCUAGUGUAGCAAAACUGACUAAAGACUUUAUCUAGAAGAUAACAAUGCAAAGACUCUUUCCUUUGAUCAUUAGAACUCUUCUCCCGCUAAUUCAUAUACAUUUAUUCAUCUCCAAAUUAUAUCCAUUCAUGUUUUGUGUAUAUAGAUGUAUAUGUAACAACAUUAUUUUCCAGCUUAAUUCUCCCUUUUUAAUAAACUUUAUUAGUUUUGUAGAUUCUCCUUUCAAACCCAGGCCAUGCUCUUAAAAUCUUCUUGAGACCCAUUCUGCUUCUGUGACAUUCUGCUCUAAAUUAAUAAUUCUCAAACAUGAAAUAACUGGGAUUCACACCAGCUUCUCACAGCUCUUACCACGGGGAAAUAAAGAAUGCAACCAACUAAACUA